AGCGAACGCUGGCGGUAUGCUUAACACAUGCAAGUCGAGCGCGAAACGUGACUUCGGUCAUAAGUAGAGCGGGCGGACGGGUGAGUAACACGUGGAUAAUCUGCCUUUAGGACUGGGAUAACCCUGGGAAACUAGGGCUAAUACCGGAUAAGACCACAGGUUCCAUGGAACCAGGGGUAAAGGCGGCCGUUCGGGCUGUCGCCGAAAGAUGAGUCCGCGUCCCAUCAGGUAGUUGGUGAGGUAACGGCUCACCAAGCCGAAGACGGGUAGCCGACCUUAGCCGGGUGAUCGGCC
rnacentral:rRNA from 1 species